UUUAAAACCCCUUUUAUUUUGUGUGGUAUUUAUUUGAGUGGGCUGGUUUAUUAAUAGGAGUGGAGGUUCCUUUUGUUUUAAAAAGAGAGUCAGGGAAUGGUCCAGCUCCCUCUUCCCUUCCCUUGGCCCAUUUCCCUCAGCCAUAGAGGCCCUCAGCGCGUCCCUCUUCUCCCACCUCUAGACGUCACCUAUACGAUGCCAUAGCGACCACCAGAUCAGAGUUCCUCCUCUAUCAACGGCUGGGCUCGCAUCCCGAGAGCCAUAAGAGGCACCCCAGCCCUUCUCCAACCCUAGCCUCUCCAUUCCCUUCCUCAUCUUCCCCUCGCGUCGUCAGAUGGGCUCCAGGAACACCAUCGCCAUGAGAGGGCUCCGGUGAGCUCGGCUCGACGCCGGCAGCAGAUCGGCCUCUUCUUCCUCUCCGUCAGCACCAGGAGCAAGAGGACGUUCGGGAGGUUUCAUUUUCGUGAAGAGAUCGGCGCCAGGAGCUGCUUCCACGACGUCAACGACGAGCGGCUCUUCUUCCUCUCCGGCAAACACCUCCUGCACCUCCCGUCGUGGGCUCCUCUCCAGCGUCGGAUGGGCUCUCUACCGCUAGGUAAAGGUUUCCCAGAUGCAGGAGUUCCCGAUGACAACCAGCUGAAGUGGGAAUUCGAUGAGGACAAUGACAGGCUGUAUGUGACUUAUCCCGAGGACUAGAGGCGCAUGGUCGUGAUCGUGGGAUUAGCAAGAUGGGAUAGCAUAUUUUGCUGUUUAUCUUGUCCGUAGUCGGACCCUGCCUUAUGUAUGAAUAAUGAAUGCUUGCGUGGAUUGUAAUUUAGCAUGUGGCGAGUGUAAGACGAAUCUUAUACUCAUCUCUCUAUUUAUGUAA